GGCCGUCUCGCUCAGUUGGUUAGAAUGUCGUGCUAAUGUUAGGGGCGUCUCUCGAAUAUCUACGCGAAGGUCUUGGGUUCGACCCCCACGAUGGCCA